UAUUGAGGUUCGACUAAGCCAUGCGAGUCGAAUGUAGCAAUACAUGGCGUACUGCUCAGUAACACGUGGACAACCUACCCUCCGGACGGGUAUAAACCCGGGAAACUGGGUAUAAUCCCCGAUAGAUCUCGGUCGCUGGAAUGCCCCGAGAUCGAAAGCUCCGGCGCCAGAGGAUGGGUCUGCGGCCUAUCAGGUAGUAGUGGGUGUAGCGUACCUACUAGCCUACGACGGGUACGGGUUGUGAGAGCAAGAGCCCGGAGAUGGAUUCUGAGACACGAAUCCAGGCCCUACGGGGUGCAGCAGGCGCGAAAACUUUACAAUGCCGGCAACGGCGAUAAGGGGACCUCGAGUGCCAGGUUACAAAUCUGGCUGUCGUGAUGCCUAAAAAGCAUUGCAUAGCAAGGGCCGGGCAAGACCGGUGCCAGCCGCCGCGGUAACACCGGCGGCUCGAGUGGUAACCGUUAUUAUUGGGUCUAAAGGGUCUGUAGCCGGCCGGAUAAGUCUCUUGAGAAAUCCAGCAGCUCAACUGUUGGGCUUUCGGGAGAUACUGUUCGGCUCGAGGCCGGGAGAGGUGAGAGGUACUUCAGGGGUAGGGGUGAAAUCUUGUAAUCCUUGAAGGACCACCAGUGGCGAAGGCGUCUCACCAGAACGGACCUGACGGCAAGGGACGAAAGCUAGGGGCACGAACCGGAUUAGAUACCCGGGUAGUCCUAGCCGUAAACGAUACUCGCUAGGUGUCGGCCACGGUGCGACCGUUGUCGGUGCCGUAGGGAAGCCGUGAAGCGAGCCACCUGGGAAGUACGGCCGCAAGGCUGAACUUAAAGGAAUUGGCGGGGGAGCA
rnacentral:rRNA from 1 species